UGAUUUUUGUUUUUUUUCUAUUGCAGGAUGUCGCCACCAAGACACGUGAAAGAAAUGUCUGCCAGGGGAAUUGUGAGCUUCUUUCCCGUCUCAGUGACCCUUUCUCUGGGACCGGUUAUGACCAUCACUAUGAUGGUGAGAGUGGAACAGGCUACUUAAAACUAUUCAGCUGCAAGAGACAGACCAUCAUCACAUGGAGGGAACACUACAAUUCUGAAAGAGUUGAACAACUUCGGGAUACAUUUUCAUUAAAUGUAAUUUGCUUGCAUGUUUGGUUAUCAAAAUCUGUCCUGUGUUGUAAAGAAUCAUCUGGAGGAGCAUCUCAUGAUGAUCAGCUUGGAGGACCAGCAUCCAGCCAGAAUCACAGUUAGUUCCACAAACAGUGCUGAGGCCUUGAUGAAACAUUCAGCGGAUGAAGAUGUAGUCAAGAGGAAGAUGAAGCUGACAUUUGACCAAAUGUCCAACAUGGUCCUUGACACACAGCAGUCAAGCAAUGUUCUGACGGUCUUUCCACGUUUAAAGACAUCAAAGGCUUGGUGGAACGAGAUUUAGUUUGGAUGUUCGGGGAGGAAAUCUCAGGUUUCAAGUUUCUGGAAAAAUAGAUGACUGCAUUCAAGCAAAAAGUCAGAAAGCUGCAGACCAGCAGUGAGUUGGUAGAUCUCCUCCUGGCAGCUGAUAACCCUGACAGUGGAGCUGAAGUGAUGACACCAUUGGUAACAGUUACACACAGUUGGCACUCUUUACUCAUUUUCUGUAAAUUAAAAAAAAAUAACAGUUUCAACUACAGUUUUGCAACAGUUACCAUUAUUUUCUUUUACUUUGUGCUAUUAUUGUGUGACAUGUUGGCAAUAGUUAAAGGGUCAAAUGACAAUAUUCUCUAAGCAUGUCUGACUGUUGCUCUACUUGAAAUACAUGUUUGUGUAUUCACAGGGUGGGACAGUGGUGGGACAGUGUUGCCCAUCGUUUACAGGUCGGCUUCCUCACUUGGUGCUUUUGAUGAACUAUUCAAGGCACAUUUUUUUUUUGCCACAACGUACAACCCAACGCUACACAACAUGUUCACAUUUUUCCAGACAAGAUGCACAACAUAGAUGUUGGGAAGUGAAGGAGAGCCCCCGUGUUGCAGAAGUUGGGGCCAGGCUGCUUCAUUAGCAGACUGCCAAGAAUUCCUGGGAAAAUGCCUGAGUUUGCCCCCGCAUUGCGGCUUCUUCUCCAUCCAUGGCUGCAAGGAUGACACCAUCCAUCCUUGAAAACUGGAGACAUGAAGAAAAAGAAAUAUUAAAAAAAAAAUAGAUGUAAAGAAGAGAUUUUCUGUGUGUGGACUUCAUACCUGGUGGGGAGGUUUUGUGGGGGCACCGGCCGAUGGCCUGUAUAGGUCCGGUAUGACGGUGUCCUUGCUUAGCUUCUCCUUUUGGUGCAGUUUGGAGAGUUUCCGAGCCGAACAUCUCCAAGAUCUUCCAGCAAGCCCAUUUGACUGGAGCUGUUUUUGUGAGCUCUCUGGAGGACUUCAUGGAAACGUGUUUGGCUCCUUUCACAUGGACCACGCCCACAUUGGAGGAUCUUCUGCAUGCGUCCGUGGCUGAGUGGAGGAGACUGUUUGGUCCAGAACGACACAUUGAGGGAAGUCCCAUAUUUUCCUUUGUGUGUGGGUUCACUCCAUGUCCCAUCUGAGUGGAUCCUCUUAACAUUGGAUACGGAUAUAUAGGGAAUGUGGGCGUGGUUAGCAAAAAAUCUCAGUUACUCCAAGAUCAAAAAGGCUACUUGUUCCCAUUUGUCAGAUGCUGACGUCAAUUUAUUAUCCAUAGCUGACCAAAAGAUUCAAUUGUCGAUAAAA